rnacentral:lncRNA from 1 species
ACUUUCUAGUUCUUAAUAUUUGUCUUUCUGAAUAAUAGUUUAAAGCAAUAUUUGUUAAAGUUUUCUUGCACUAUCACAAUUGCUUUUUAGUUAUUUCUCAAGAAGCAUGUUCGUAGUAGAGACAAAAUCUGUGUAACAGGAGGGAGAAUAGCGCCAAGUCUCUGGGCUAUUUUUUAUUUUUGCAAAUGUGCUUUCUAAUAGCCAUUGCCUUCCAUGUUGUUUACCUAAUCAGCACAUUUUGUCUGAAUACUUGAACAUUUUAACAGUAACGCAGGUAUAGAAUCAGAAAGGAAACUUAUGCAGAGUAAUAUUUUGGUUCAGUUUUAACAUCGUGACAAUGAGGGCUUUUUCUAGCAAUGAUUUUUAAAUUGUAUAAGUUUGACAGUAUUUUAUUGUUGGGUUUUUAUUUGGUUUUAGUUGUGUGCUUUUCAUUUGCAGAAGUUAGUAACUGCAGCUCACCUACUGCACCAAAGUUCUUGAUUUUAGGAGCCCAGCUUUAGUCAUUUGAACAUGCUUCUAAAUAAAAUAAA